GAGCGACGCCGCGUGCAGGAUGAAGUCCCUCGGGAUGUAAACUGCUGUCAGGGGUGAGGAAUAAGUUGACCAACCCCAGAGGAAGCAUCGGCUAACUCCGUGCCAGCAGCCGCGGUAAUACGGAGGAUGCAAGCGUUGUUCGGAAUCACUGGGCUUAAAGAGCGUGUAGGUGGGGUGUCAGACGUCGGGUGAAAUCCCUCGGCUCAACCGAGGAACUGCCAGGCGAACCGGCAUUCUUGAGGCAGGUAGAGGUGGCUGGAACGACAGGUGGAGCGGUGAAAUGCGUAGAUAUCUGUUGGAACGCCGGCGGCGAAAGCGAGCCACCGGGCCUGUCCUGACACUGAGACGCGAAAGCGUGGGGAGCAAACAGGAUUAGAUACCCUGGUAGUCCACGCCGUAAACGAUGCGCACUAGGUAUGAAAGGUUUUAACGCCGAUCGUGCCGGAGCAAAAGUGCUAAGUGCGCCGCCUGGGGAGUACGGCCGCAAGGCUAAAACUCAAAGGAAUUGACGGGGGCUCACACAAGCGGUGGAG
rnacentral:rRNA from 1 species